rnacentral:rRNA from 1 species
GGAUAAGACAUGCAAGUCGAACGGGAUUAUUUUUGUAGCAAUACAGAAAUAAUUCAGUGGCGAACGGGUGCGUAACACGUGGGCAAUCUGCCGAAAAGUGGGGGAUAGCUCGCCGAAAGGCGAAUUAAUACCGCAUGUGGUGAGGGACGACAUCUUCCUGAAUCCAAAGCCGGGGCAACCUGGCGCUUUUUGAGGAGCCCGCGGCCUAUCAAGCUAGUUGGCGGGGUAACGGCCCACCAAGGCUAUGACGGGUAGCUGGUCUGAGAGGACGACCAGUCCACACUGGAACUGAGACACGGUCCAGACACCUACGGGUGGCAGCAGUUGAGAAUUUUUCUCAAUGGGCGAAAGCCUGAAGGAGCGACGCCGCGUGGAGGAUGAAGGCUUUCGGGUUGUAAACUCCUGUCAUUUGAGAACAAGUGCCAACAAGUAACUACUGUUGGCUUGAUAGUAUCAGAAGAGGAAGGGACGGCUAACUCUGUGCCAGCAGCCGCGGUAAUACAGAGGUCCCAAGCGUUGUUCGGAUUCAUUGGGCGUAAAGGGUGCGUAGGUGGCGCCGUAAGUCGGGUGUGAAGUUUCGGAGCUUAACUCCGAAAUUGCAUUCGAUACUGCGGUGCUUGAGGACUGGAGAGGAGACUGGAAUUCAUGGUGUAGCAGUGAAAUGCGUAGAGAUCAUGAGGAAGACCAGUGGCGAAGGCGGGUCUCUGGACAGUUCCUG